rnacentral:rRNA from 1 species
CGCUUGGGCUAGAGCAGUACUAGGAUGGGUGACCCCCUAGGAAGUCCUCGUGUUGCACCC